AGCGAACGCUGGCGGCAGGCCUAACACAUGCAAGUCGAACGAACUCUUCGGAGUUAGUGGCGGACGGGUGAGUAACACGUGGGAACGUGCCUUUUGGUUGGGAAUAACUCAGGGAAACUUGUGCUAAUACCGAAUGAGACCUUCGGGGGAAAGAUUUAUCGCCAUUAGAGCGGCCCGCGUCUGAUUAGCUAGUUGGUGAGGUAACGGCUCACCAAGGCGACGAUCAGUAGCUGGUCUGAGAGGAUGACCAGCCACACUGGGACUGAGACACGGCCCAGACUCCUACGGGAGGCAGCAGUGGGGAAUCUUGCGCAAUGGGCGAAAGCCUGACGCAGCCAUGCCGCGUGAAUGAUGAAGGUCUUAGGAUUGUAAAAUUCUUUCACCGGGGACGAUAAUGACGGUACCCGGAGAAGAAGCCCCGGCUAACUUCGUG
rnacentral:rRNA from 1 species